rnacentral:rRNA from 1 species
UACGUAGGGUGCGAGCGUUGUCCGGAAUUAUUGGGCGUAAAGGGCUCGUAGGCGGUUUGUCGCGUCGGGGGUGAAAACUCAGGGCUUAACCCUGAGCCUGCUUCCGAUACGGGCAGACUAGAGUGCGGUAGGGGAGAUCGGAAUUCCUGGUGUAGCGGUGAAAUGCGCAGAUAUCAGGAGGAACACCGGUGGCGAAGGCGGAUCUCUGGGCCGUAACUGACGCUGAGGAGCGAAAGCAUGGGGAGCGAACAGG